rnacentral:lncRNA from 1 species
UUUUCUGCAGCCUUUGAGCAGCAACUUGGAGGGAGGAACCCCUAUAGAGUUCCAAGGAGGCCGAUCCCCUAAAGAGAUCAACCCCAAGUUUAGAAUCUGCAAGGGUUCUAACAGUUAUUUCUCCCAAGUUUAUCAUCCCAACUGUUGGGAAAUAUUGGGGGCGACAUCAUAUGCGCAGCGGAAGAACAAGAAAACAAAACCUCCAAUUUUCCAAAAAGAUAUUCGUCGUCGUGCGAAGAUUGGUGUGCAAAAAUC